rnacentral:tRNA from 1 species
GGAGUUGUAGCUCAGCGGUAGAGUGCUUGCCUUGCAUGUGGGAGGCACUGGGUUCGAUUCUCAGCACCA